rnacentral:rRNA from 1 species
GAUGAACGCUGGCGGCGUGCUUAACACAUGCAAGUCGAACGAUGAAGCUCAGCUUGCUGGGUGGAUUAGUGGCGAACGGGUGAGUAACACGUGAGUAACCUGCCCUUAACUCUGGGAUAAGCCUGGGAAACUAGGUCUAAUACCGGAUAGGAGCGCCUACCGCAUGGUGGGUGUUAGAAAGAUUUAUCGGUUUUGGAUGGACUCGCGGCCUAUCAGCUUGUUGGUGAGGUAAUGGCUCACCAAGGCGACGACGGGUAGCCGGCCUGAGAGGGUGACCGGCCACACUGGGACUGAGACACGGCCCAGACUCCUACGGGAGGCAGCAGUGGGGAAUAUUGCACAAUGGGCGAAAGCCGGAUGCAGCGACGCCGAGUGAGGGAUGACGGCCUUCGGGUUGUAAACCUCUUUCAGUAGGGAAGAAGCGAAAGUGACGGUACCUGCAGAAGAAGCACCGGCGAACUACGU